UCUUUCUUUCUCUUUCAUUCUCAGUUUGUGCUGGCAGUUUUAGGCAAACGGUUGUGUUUGAGUGCAUAUGUGUGCUCUUGUGUGCUUGUGUCUCAAUAUUUCGCAUUAAUUUACACAAAUUUUGAUUACGUUUAUGGGCGAAACCAUUGGAGGGGCUGCUUAGGUGGAGUGGGACUUUGAGCAGUGCUUUGAGCCUAGACCAGUGUGUGCAGGCGACAAAGUUUGUCGCUAUUGACAUCGUUUCGAACAUGCACAGCGACUACAGCGACGAUUUUCAAAGCGAUAGAGA